CCCGUGAACCACCAGGCUGUAAACAUCGGCAGGCCGGCGAGACGGAGGGACGGUUGCAUACACGACACGUACACAUAGUUCUAGUUCUCUCGCAUUUCGUAGCGCAGGUAGCCACGGGGCACGUCGUGCGCACCAGGUAACGCGAGCGAAUAACGAGGGCAGUGGAGGACCAUUUAUUUUUCCAAUUAAAAGAGGAUAAGAAGCACCGCACGGUUUCCGAGGACGACAACGGAGGCGUUCGAUCAGAUUAGAAAACGGGAGUUUUUAUUAAAUUUACCUAUCGAGUUGUCGAAUAAUUUCCAUCGACGUUUAUAAAUCACUUACAGGAAUGCAGUCCCUGAAGGUAAAAAUAAUCCGUACUCAAGGGUGGCUCCAAGGGAUGGCCAGUUUUUAGGCACCAGCCCAUCGGGUGAAUGUCAGGUGCAUCGUCGUCAAUCCAAUAGGCAUGGUGUUCAGGCCAACCAUCGAAACGAAUUUUCAACCUGGAUAUUAAAAGGAACAGUGACAAUUUCUCCAAACAAGUACUUGGGAGUUCCUCGAAUCAACGCAGUCGUACUUACACGUGAUCUUUGACGUCCUCGACAGUCGCGACUCUGAUCAAUUGAGGUACUCGUUUGUCUACAGCUUCCAAUUUCAUGCCACGUUUGAAUCCACAGGGUGGACGCUGUUUGAAGGCUCUUGCUGGUGCAGCCACCGAUCUGGUCUCUCUAAGUACAGGAGACAUCUGGGACAAUGAAGAGGUUUACUAUUUGGUGGUGUAAGACUGUGCCCGUUGUGAUGACACCAACCGACGGGAUGGAUGUAGGGCGAACUCGCGUCUGCCCAAUAGUCAUAUACUUCAUCCCAAGAAUCAAAGUGAACCAAUAUUCGCGAAUCCAUUAGCUCUGCAAUACUGGCAACACAUACUAGCGAGGAAUGCUUUCUGUCCACAGCUUCAAGCUUCAUGCCUUGUCGAAA
rnacentral:lncRNA from 1 species